CCUACGGGAUGCUGCAGUAGGGAAUCUUCCACAAUGGGCGAAAGCCUGAUGGAGCAACGCCGCGUGGGUGAAGAAGGUCUUCGGAUCGUAAAACCCUGUUGUUAGAGAAGAAAGUGCGUGAGAGUAACUGUUCACGUUUCGACGGUAUCUAACCAGAACGCCACGGCUCACUACGUGCCAGCAGCCGCGGUAAUACGUAGGUGGCAAGCGUUAUCCGGAUUUGUUGGGCGUAAAGGGAACGCAGGCGGUCUGUUAAGUCUGAUGUGAAAGCCUUCGGCUUAACCGGAGUAGUGCAUUGGAAACUGGGAGACUUGAGUGCAGAAGAGGAGAGUGGAACUCCAUGUGUAGCGGUGAAAUGCGUAGAUAUAUGGAAGAACACCAGUGGCGAAAGCGGCUCUCUGGUCUGUAACUGACGCUGAGGUUCGAAAGCGUGGGUAGCAAACAGGAUUAGAUACCCUUGUAGUC
rnacentral:rRNA from 1 species